GCGCCUGUAGCUCAGUAGGAUAGAGCAUCGGACUUCUAAUCCGGUUGUCGCAGGUUCGAUUCCUGCCAGGCGCGCCA
rnacentral:tRNA from 2 species